CCUUGACAUACUAAGAACUUUCCAGAGAUGGAUUGGUGCCUUCGGGAACUUAGAUACAGGUGCUGCAUGGCUGUCGUCAGCUCGUGUCGUGAGAUGUUGGGUUAAGUCCCGCAACGAGCGCAACCCUUUUCCUUAUUGCCAGCGGGUUAAGCCGGGAACUUUAAGGAUACUGCCAGUGACAAACUGGAGGAAGGCGGGGACGACGUCAAGUCAUCAUGGCCCUUACGGCCAGGGCUACACACGUGCUACAAUGGUCGGUACAAAGGGUUGCUACCUCGCGAGAGGAUGCUAAUCUCAAAAAGCCGAUCGUAGUCCGGAUCGCAGUCUGCAACUCGACUGCGUGAAGUCGGAAUCGCUAGUAAUCGCGGAUCAGAAUGCCGCGGUGAAUACGUUCCCGGGCCUUGUACACACCGCCCGUCACACCAUGGGAGUUUGUUGCACCAGAAGUAGGUAGUCUAACCGCAAGGAGGACGCUUACCACGGUGUGGCCGAUGACUGGGGUGAAGUCGUAACAAGGUAGGCGUAGAUGA
rnacentral:rRNA from 1 species